rnacentral:rRNA from 1 species
GGGUUGUGAGGUUAAGCGACUAAGCGUACACGGUGGAUGCCCUGGCAGUCAGAGGCGAUGAAGGACGUGCUAAUCUGCGAAAAGCGUCGGUAAGGUGAUAUGAACCGUUACAGCCGGCGAUGUCCGAAUGGGGAAACCCAGUGCAAUUCGUUGCACUAUCGUUAACUGAAUACAUAGGUUAACGAGGCGAACCGGGGGAACUGAAACAUCUAAGUACCCCGAGGAAAAGAAAUCAACCGAGAUUCCCCCAGUAGCGGCGAGCGAACGGGGAGCAGCCCAGAGUCUGAAUCAGCUUGUGUGUUAGUGGAACGGUCUGGAAAGUCCGACGGUACAGGGUGAUAGUCCCGUACACCAAAAUGCACAGGUUGUGAACUCGAAGAGUAGGGCGGGACACGUGGUAUCCUGUCUGAAUAUGGGGGGACCAUCCUCCAAGGCUAAAUACUCCUGACUGACCGAUAGUGAACCAGUACCGUGAGGGAAAGGCGAAAAGAACCCCGGCGAGGGGAGUGAAAAAGAACCUGAAACCGUGUACGUACAAGCAGUGGGAGCACCUUCGGGUGUGACUGCGUACCUUUUGUAUAAUGGGUCAGCGACUUAUAUUCUGUAGCAAGGUUAACCGUAUAGGGGAGCCGCAGGGAAACCGAGUCUUAACUGGGCGUUAAGUUGCAGGGUAUAGACCCGAAACCCGGUGAUCUAGCCAUGGGCAGGUUGAAGGUUGGGUAACACUAACUGGAGGACCGAACCGACUAAUGUUGAAAAAUUAGCGGAUGACUUGUGGCUGGGGGUGAAAGGCCAAUCAAACCGGGAGAUAGCUGGUUCUCCCCGAAAGCUAUUUAGGUAGCGCCUCGUGAAUUCAUCUUCGGGGGUAGAGCACUGUUUCGGCUAGGGGGUCAUCCCGACUUACCAACCCGAUGCAAACUACGAAUACCGAAGAAUGUUAUCACGGGAGACACACGGCGGGUGCUAACGUCCGUCGUGAAGAGGGAAACAACCCAGACCGCCAGCUAAGGUCCCAAAGUCAUGGUUAAGUGGGAAACGAUGUGGGAAGGCACAGACAGCCAGGAUGUUGGCUUAGAAGCAGCCAUCAUUUAAAGAAAGCGUAAUAGCUCACUGGUCGAGUCGGCCUGCGCGGAAGAUGUAACGGGGCUAAACCAUGCACCGAAGCUGCGGCAGCGACACUAUGUGUUGUUGGGUAGGGGAGCGUUCUGUAAGCCUGCGAAGGUGACCUGUGAGGGUUGCUGGAGGUAUCAGAAGUGCGAAUGCUGACAUAAGUAACGAUAAAGCGGGUGAAAAGCCCGCUCGCCGGAAGACCAAGGGUUCCUGUCCAACGUUAAUCGGGGCAGGGUGAGUCGACCCCUAAGGCGAGGCCGAAAGGCGUAGUCGAUGGGAAACAGGUUAAUAUUCCUGUACUUGGUGUUACUGCGAAGGGGGGACGGAGAAGGCUAUGUUAGCCGGGCGACGGUUGUCCCGGUUUAAGCAUGUAGGCUGGUUGUCCAGGCAAAUCCGGAUAAUCAAGGCUGAGGUGUGAUGACGAGGCACUACGGUGCUGAAGUAACAAAUGCCCUGCUUCCAGGAAAAGCCUCUAAGCAUCAGGUAACAUUAAAUCGUACCCCAAACCGACACAGGUGGUCAGGUAGAGAAUACCAAGGCGCUUGAGAGAACUCGGGUGAAGGAACUAGGCAAAAUGGUGCCGUAACUUCGGGAGAAGGCACGCUGGUGUGUAGGUGAAGUCCCUGCGGAUGGAGCUGAGACCAGUCGAAGAUACCAGCUGGCUGCAACUGUUUAUUAAAAACACAGCACUGUGCAAACACGAAAGUGGACGUAUACGGUGUGACGCCUGCCCGGUGCCGGAAGGUUAAUUGAUGGGGUUAUCCGUAAGGAGAAGCUCUUGAUCGAAGCCCCGGUAAACGGCGGCCGUAACUAUAACGGUCCUAAGGUAGCGAAAUUCCUUGUCGGGUAAGUUCCGACCUGCACGAAUGGCGUAAUGAUGGCCAGGCUGUCUCCACCCGAGACUCAGUGAAAUUGAACUCGCUGUGAAGAUGCAGUGUACCCGCGGCAAGACGGAAAGACCCCGUGAACCUUUACUAUAGCUUGACACUGAACAUUGAGCCUUGAUGUGUAGGAUAGGUGGGAGGCUUUGAAGCGUGGACGCCAGUCUGCGUGGAGCCAACCUUGAAAUACCACCCUUUAAUGUUUGAUGUUCUAACGUUGGCCCCUGACCGGGGUUGCGGACAGUGUCUGGUGGGUAGUUUGACUGGGGCGGUCUCCUCCCAAAGCGUAACGGAGGAGCACGAAGGUUAGCUAAUCCUGGUCGGACAUCAGGAGGUUAGUGCAAUGGCAUAAGCUAGCUUGACUGCGAGCGUGACGGCGCGAGCAGGUGCGAAAGCAGGUCAUAGUGAUCCGGUGGUUCUGAAUGGAAGGGCCAUCGCUCAACGGAUAAAAGGUACUCCGGGGAUAACAGGCUGAUACCGCCCAAGAGUUCAUAUCGACGGCGGUGUUUGGCACCUCGAUGUCGGCUCAUCACAUCCUGGGGCUGAAGUAGGUCCCAAGGGUAUGGCUGUUCGCCAUUUAAAGUGGUACGCGAGCUGGGUUUAGAACGUCGUGAGACAGUUCGGUCCCUAUCUGCCGUGGGCGCUGGAGAAUUGAGGGGGGCUGCUCCUAGUACGAGAGGACCGGAGUGGACGCAUCACUGGUGUUCGGGUUGUCAUGCCAAUGGCACUGCCCGGUAGCUAAAUGCGGAAGAGAUAAGUGCUGAAAGCAUCUAAGCACGAAACUUGCCCCGAGAUGAGUUCUCCCUGAGACUUUAAGUCUCCUGAAGGAACGUUGAAGACGACGACGUUGAUAGGCCGGGUGUGUAAGCGCAGCGAUGCGUUGAGCUAACCGGUACUAAUGAACCGUGAGGCUUAACCUUACAACGCCGAAG